UUCCCCAAGGUCACCGCCAAGAGCCUUAGUAAGAAGUGCCUAAUUCUGAGCCCAAUGCCUGCUGCAGAGCGCGGCAUUCUGCCUGCGUUGAAACAGAGCCUGAAGACCAGCUUUGCUGAGCGGCAGAAACGGCUGCAGGUGGUGCAGAGCCGACGCCUGCACCGCUCUGUGCUGCUGAGCCGGCGCCCUGGAGCCCGGCCAUCCCCUCUCGAGAAUGGUUCACACCAACCCUAUUUUGCAGCCACACGCAAUUCCAAGACAGACAGAACCCAUGACAGAUAAAACCACGUGCUCUCAGAAAUGAGGAGACUGUAUUUUCUCUAUUUUACUAUCCCUGCAUUUAUGCAAAGGCCAUAAUAGAAUGUUACGUCCUCUCCCUGUAGACUGAAAAUAAAAAUUGUUUCUCCUAGUGCUAA
rnacentral:lncRNA from 1 species